UCUUUAGUGGGAUUUAGUGUGCGCCUAUAUGUCAUUGCCGAUCCUUUUAUGCAUUUUCUAUUGUCCAUUGAUAUUUUUCUUCCUAUGAGUCCUCCGCCUCCAUUCUGUCUCUGCUUGCGGAGUUGCCGCCACUCCAAAACCCUAGCCACCUUCAUUUCUCGGCGGUGCGCUCCAAGUUGUGCUAGUUUUCUGGUCAACAUAAAGAUGACAACAAUGGAAAAGGAUCAUAUUUUGGUUGCAUGCUUCAUAUGAUUAGAAUUUUUCUUAUAACCGUAGUGUCCGGGUCAGGAAUUACCACCAGUACAGUACGGUUAAACUCUGCCCGUCAAAGCUUGGACAAAUUGGAAGAGUCACCAAAUAUUUUUGCCUCCGAGGCCUCAUUGGUUAUCAAUCCACCAAUAAACAAACACCAUAUGAUUAGUUAUAGUUCCUUUUAAAUUGAAUUGAAUGUCAUAAUUUUAUAACCUUUCAGAGUUGGUCUGUUUUAUCAUUCUCUUAUAGAAGUACAUGUAGUUUUAUACUUUCCUGACACUUAACUGUUCAUCAUUAGCUUGUUGAUUGCUUGUUAUUCUUUCAUAUGUUGUAUGUAGCUCUUUGAUUUUCUUCUAGAGUCCCUUUUAGAAUGGAUUUUUGAUGAUGCUAUCGAAUUUUUGCAUGUGUA